GUCGGCAGAGAGAAGGGAGGUGAGGGGCUUCCCGCUCAGUCAGAGGCUAAUGGGGGGCAGAUGGGUGGGGGCGGGCUGGUCUUUCUGGCUCAGUGGAAAAAGUAAGUGUCCUCACUGAAAUGGGUGACACAUGGAGCCAGAGAAAGGGUCUUCUUGGGAGCCUGCUGCUAGCCGGAGUCAUUCUGAAUCUGUUUGCAGAAAAGCCACCCUCUUCUGGCAACCUUAUUAGGAGUACUUAAAGACAUUCUUCCUGGAAGUCUGAGCAGGAGGAAUGUACCCAAAGUGACCCAGCUCAGCAUCUGUAGACAUCUGUGAGUUCAUAAAGCUCAGACAAGUCCUCAGGCCAAGCAGGGCUCCAGCAGGCACAGCCCGCGGGAGUCAGCCCUGGCGCCGCAGGUGCUGCCCAGCUGGGGCCUGGACGGUCCAAGUGGCCGCUCUCUGGGGGCUGCAGGUGAGCCAGGUGUGAUGGAGCCUCUUGGUCAUGUUAUGUUCCCUGUGCUUGACUUGGGAUGUCACUUGGCCUUGCUUAUCAUUUAGGUCAGAAGCCACACUCCAUGGAAACUGCACAGUGGGAAGAUGCGUGUGUGUUUGUAAGCAAACGUCCAGACUGAGGGAUGCGGUACUGAGUGUGCAGACAUACACUGGACACUGUCCCAAAAGACACUGUACAGACAUGAAAGCUCUCCUUCCCCCAGCGGUCCUCUAAACGCCACUCCAGCCCGGCUUCAAUCAGCUGCCUGAGGGAAGUUUAAGGCUCAGCUCAGGCGCUACCAUGUAAUCCUCACCAAGCCCCAGCAGGUGGCGCUCGAGGCUUGAAGCUCAUCCUAGGCGCAGUUCCUCCUCUGCAUAGGUAUGGGGUUGUGCCCACCUGAGGCUACCCAGCUGGACCAUGUGCACUGUCCAGGUCCAGACCUGUCCCACAGUGAGACUGUGGCCUUGGACAAGCUGCUUACCUACCCUGUGCUUCAGCAGUCACACAGGAAUAACAGGAGUCCUGAGGCGUGCAGACAUACUCCCACAAAGGACCCCAGGGGGAAGAGGGACAUUCAGGCAGAGAUGGGUUUAGGGGAGAAGCCUCGGUAGCCUCCCGAGCAAAGGGAAGGAGUGAUUUCACUUCCCGCAGCAGCUCUGAGCAUGCCUGUUAGGAGACCUGUCAGUGGGCGCCAGAUGCCUGUUGCAGCCUCAGUAGAAUCAUGUGCCAGAUGGAGGGAAGAGGACCCCAGUUAAUUAUGAGGCAAAAACACCUCAUCUCUCUGGCUUCUUUCAAGUUCAUGCCUCGGUUUUAGCUUUCAGUGUUUACUCUCCUUGGCAGGAGAAGAUAAGGUAGAUACUGACAAAAUAAUGUUACUGGGCUGGAAAGAAAGGAUCUGGUGACCAUUAUCAUGAGAGUGGGGGAGAGUGGAUUCUAAAACUGGAUUCUUCGGGGUUCCCCAGGUCUCAGCCUUGAGGAGGACAGGACAGGCACUGGAAUCUGGGUCUGACAGUGAGGACUGCUGUGCCACAGGCAGGGCCACACACUCCAGUGCUGGAGCCCAUGUGGGCUGCAUCAGCUGCAGGAACACAAUGACAGGAUUCGGAGAGAGGAAUCAACACGAGACACGAAUGUCACAGCAACACAGGCCGAGGUCACACUCUGAGAGCGUCACAGAGUCUACACUGGCUGGAGACCGCACGUGUGAACAUACGAUGGUGUGCCACCAAGAGAACAUUGAAACACGGUGGGGUGCAGGGCCAGGAAGGUCACUGACGCUGACAGGAAGCCUCAGUGCCGCUGCGUCAGGCAGCACAGAAGCCAUAGGAGCGCGGGCCCCAGCUCCCCCUCGCCCACUGUCACCCCUCCAUUUCUCAUUUUGCCCUUUUCUGCCUCUCCAAGUGGCAUGCUCUGCUCCUUCCCGCCGGGGUGACAGGGAAAGUCAGCAGACUUGCAGGGCUGGAGCCCUGCCGAGAGCAACCCGGGCAGGUGUUGCCCAUCUGGAGGGCAGCAGUGGGCUGUGCCCUGUGCCACAGCCACUCACCCUGGAGACUGCCAGCAGGGAGGGGUGCUAUCCCUUCUCAGAAGGGACUGUCCCUAAUUGUUCUGUAAGCCUCAGGGUAGAUGACAGCACCUACACACUCAACAUUAAUCACAUCCAAACAUAGAGAAAUCAAGUCACCAGACGGCUUUCCCCCAAUACUGAAGUAGCCUAAGCUAUCAGAAACACUUGCAAAUUUGACUAGCAUUUUUAUUGGCAGCAAGGGGCCGAACUCCACCAGUCCCUGGCUUCCAGCUCAUCUGGCAAAGAAAAUGUAAAGUUUUUUUUGGAGGGGACUCAUUGAGGGAAAAAAUGGCAGGAUCUGUGAGAGUGCUCUCAGUGUACAUAGGACCCAGCAAAGCAUUUUUCUCCGAUGUGCAAUAUGUUUGAAAAAUGUUUAAAUUUUUAAAAAUUUAUUAAGGACACACUGCUGUCAAUCACCCUGGAAAAGCUCCUCCUCGCUUUAACCCCAUCCCAUCAUUCUUGCUCCUUUCUGAUGCCUUCUGGGAGUCCUCUGUCAUGGGUGUCUCCAGUUGGGCUCGCAUGGUCUCCCUGAUGUCCCAAUCGGUUCAAAGUGUUUAUCCUUCACGGUCAUUAUGACCUUGGAGAAGAGCCAGAAGCCGCAGGGUAGCGGACCUGCUGGAUGCCACGGAGGAGGAGGCACCACAGCAUCUUUAACAAGCGGCCUCUCAGCAGGACGGCUGCUAGCAGCCGGCUCACUGCACUGCUGAUCACCUCGGGUACAGACUCUCACGAAAGAGGACUUCCAGAACUGCCUCGGGGAGCUGCCAGUGAUGAGAUCACUGUUCCAAGUCAAGGAGAAGGUUUUUGCGGGGAAUUAAGGGCAUUAGGCCUUCCAGCAUAAUAAAUUUUUAGAAAUUUAAACAUUUACCACGGAGCGAGAUCAGUGUAUGUAGGUAUGUGGUUUGGUCAGUUCUUAUCUGUCUUUGGUGGUGAUUGAACUGAGGACCUUGUGACAUGCUAAGCACACCCUCUAUCACCUAGCUGUCCCCUCUGGGUAUCCGCUAUGUGUGGGGUGUUAUAUGCUUAUAUAGUAAAUGUGUGGUAUACAUAUGUAUAGACACCACAUGUAUUCACAUGUGAUAUGUGUGCUGCAUGUGACAGAUGUGUAGCAUGUGUAUCUUUGGGAUAUAUGGUGGUGACCCACAUGUACACAUGGUACAUGCAUGGUGCAUGCUGUGUGUCAGUGUGUGGGUGGUAAAUGUGUAAUACAUGUGAUGCGUGCAGAUG